rnacentral:rRNA from 1 species
GACGUAGGGCGCGAGCGUUGUCCGGAUUUAUUGGGCGUAAAGAGCUCGUAGGCGGUCUGUCGCGUCUGGUGUGAAAAUCCAGGGCUUAACCCUGGACCUGCAUCGGGUACGGGCAGACUAGAGUGCGGUAGGGGAGAUCGGAAUUCCUGGUGUAGCGGUGAAAUGCGCAGAUAUCAGGAGGAACACCGGUGGCGAAGGCGGGUCUCUGGGCCGAUACUGACGCUGAGGAGCGAAAGCGUGGGGGAGCGAACAGG